AAUUCUCAACCUUUAUCAGUUUUACUGGUAAAUGGCUUGGAUGUGGGAGUUGCUGGUUUCAUCUUUUUGAAAUCAGCUCUUCUGAAAUGCAUUAGCUGGUUGCCUUGUGCAAACAUGUCUAUUGGUGUGAUAAUUAUCUACGCCGUGGACUUGCAUGAAUGAGCACUGCUUAUAAUCGUCUGUAAAGACAAUUUAUGACA
rnacentral:misc_RNA from 1 species